AGUUCCUCUCACCUGGAGGGGAUGGAUUGUGAAUGCUUGGGAAGUAGAGUCUAAAUGUGGGAAAAUUUGGGGAGAUGGAGGUGGGAGGCAUGCAGACCUGAAAAUAAAAUAAAACUGAAGUUU